GGAUACCCGAGGGAAACUUCGGUUAAUACGGUAUAAGACCACACUACCGCAUGGUAGAGGGGUAAAAGGGGCAACCUGGUAUGAGAUGGACUCGCGUCGCAUUAGCUAGUUGGUGAGGUAACGGCCCACCAAGGCGACGAUGCGUAGCCGACCUGAGAGGGUGAUCGGCCACAUUGGGACUGAGAUACGGCCCAGACUCCUACGGGAGGCAGCAGUGGGGAAUAUUGGGCAAUGGAGGAAACUCUGACCCAGCAAUGCCGCGUGAAUGAAGAAGGUCUUCGGAUUGUAAAGUUCUUUAGUCAGGGAAGAAGUCAAUGACGGUACCUGAAGAAUAAGCUCCGGCUAACUACGUGCCAGCAGCCGCGGUAAUACGUAGGGAGCAAGCGUUGUUCGGAAUGACUGGGCGUAAAGGGUGCGUAGGCGGUUGUACAAGUUAGAAGUGAAAUACCCAGGGCUUAACUCGGGUGCUGCUUCUAAAACUGUAUGACUUGAGUGCAGUAGAGGUUAGUGGAAUUCCUAGUGUAGCGGUGGAAUGCGUAGAUAUUAGGAGGAACACCAGAGGCGAAGGCGGCUAACUGGACUGCAACUGACGCUGAGGCACGAAAGUGUGGGGAGCAAACAGGAUUAGAUACCCUGGUAGUCCACACUGUAAACGAUGGAUACUAGAUGUAGGAGGUAUCGACUCCUUCUGCGUCGCA
rnacentral:rRNA from 1 species